UGUGGACAAAUGACUGGCCUUACAUCAAAGAAGAAAUCACAGGUGUCACCAGGAAAUGGAACACACCUACUUGACUCUCUUAUCCGUGCCUUCAGAUCGUGUUGAGGUGCUGAACACAGUCAUCUCGGUGUGAAACCAGCAGAAGAGAAUGCGUCCACCAUGUUUUACUUAGAACCCCAGUUAUAGACAUCACUGUUGGCUCAGUGCUUUGCUACCACAAACCACACUGUGAGGACCAUCCUUACCGUCCUGACUCUUUGCAGAUACAAAUAAAUUAAAGAUCUUGAGAUGAAAUUAGCCUGGAUUACCUGGAUGGGUCUUAAAUCCAAUGACAAGUGUCCUUCCAAGAGACAGAAGAGGGGAAGAUGCAGACAUACAGAAAAGAAGUGAUGUGAAGACAGAGGCAGCGAUAGAAGUGAUGCAGCCACAAGCCAAGGAAGGCCAAGGAAUGCUGGUGUCCAGUAGAAGCUGGAAGAGGCCAGGAAUGGAUUCUCCCCUCGAACUUCCAGAGGGAAUAUGGCUCUGCCAACACCUUAGUU
rnacentral:lncRNA from 1 species